GACUUUUGUGCGAAACAGGUAGAAUUUAAAUAUAAUAAAUUUCAGUGAUACGAUCGCUGGGCGUGGUGGCGUGCGCCUGUAACCGAGCUACUACGGAGCGGGUAGUGUCGAAUGACUUGAGGUCGGGACUCCUGUCGUACGUCGAUCUAUGUCGAUCGGGUGUCCACACUAAGUUGGGCGCCAAUAUGGUGAACUUAGGGGAACCUUCGUUCACCAGGUUGAAUAAAGAGGAACGUACCGGUCCAGGAUGGAAACAUAGCAGACAAAAGUUCCCGCGUCAAACAGUAGUGGGAUAGCACUUGUGAAUAGGAGGCGUGCGACAGCCCGGUCAAGAUAGUUGAACCCGCUACCCUUUUUUGUUUUUUGUAUUCCUUUUUCUACAUCUCGUUACUAAACUUUUUCAGUUUUCACACUAAUUC